rnacentral:rRNA from 1 species
UACGUAGGGUGCAAGCGUUGUCCGGAAUUAUUGGGCGUAAAGAGCUCGUAGGCGGUCUGUCGCGUCGGAUGUGAAAAUCCAGGGCUCAACCCUGGACCUGCAUUCGAUACGGGCAGACUAGAGUUCGGCAGGGGAGACUGGAAUUCCUGGUGUAGCGGUGAAAUGCGCAGAUAUCAGGAGGAACACCGGUGGCGAAGGCGGGUCUCUGGGCCGAUACUGACGCUGAGGAGCGAAAGCGUGGGGAGCGAACCGG